CAAAGAGAAGCAAAGCCGCGAGGUAGAGCAAAUCUCAAAAAAACAUCUCAGUUCAGACUGCAGGCUGCAACUCGCCUGCACGAAGUCGGAAUUGCUAGUAAUCGUAGGUCAGCAUACUACGGUGAAUACGUUCCCGGGCCUUGUACACACCGCCCGUCAAACCAUGAGAGUUGGCAACACCCGAAGUCGGUAGUCUAACCGCAAGGAGGACGCCGCCGAAGGUGGGGUUGAUGAUUAGGGUUAAGUCGUAACAAGGUAAC
rnacentral:rRNA from 1 species